UACGGGGGGCGCAAGCGUUGUUCGGAUUUACUGGGCGUAAAGGGCGCGUAGGCGGCGCACCAAGUCACUUGUGAAAUCUCCGGGCUUAACCCGGAGCGGCCAAGUGAUACUGUCGUGCUAGAGUGCGGAAGGGGCUACUGGAAUUCUCGGUGUAGCGGUGAAAUGCGUAGAUAUCGAGAGGAACACCUGCGGCGAAGGCGGGUAGCUGGGCCGACACUGACGCUGAGGCGCGAAAGCCAGGGGAGCGAACGGG
rnacentral:rRNA from 1 species